UAACGCAGAAGACAGCUGACCCUUAGCCAAAUGAAGAAUUAAACUAAUGAUCUUUCAAAUGAACAACCUCCCUUUGGGGCAUUUUAUCAAACGGCUUAUGAGCAAGUUAAGCUGACAGAACGACGUCGUGUGAAGGGCAAAAACAUAUUAAAUGUUAAAUGUUUCCAUAUCUUAAACCCCAGAACAAAAAACAAGAAGAGAAGCAAGCAAUCUCAGGGAAAAAUGCAAAUGCAAGCCCUAAUGAUACCAAUACGACCUCGUUUUACUGAACUCUUAACUCGUCAAUGGCUCAAACCUUUAAGCCUCCGUGCAUACUCAUCGUCAUCGGAAUACUCCAACCAAUCACGUGGUGGCCUCCCUCGCUUCUUCUGCGAAAUUCUUCCUUCUUCAAAAGGUGGUAUUGUUCGUGUACAAGGUGAUGAAUUCUGGCACAUUGUUAAAGUUUUAAGAUUAUCCAUCAGCGACAGGAUAGAGCUUUUCAAUGGGAAAGGAGCUCUAGUAGAAGGGUGCAUUGAGAGAAUUGACCGUACUGGACUUGAUUUUGUGGCAGUCAAUGAUCCAAAGAUAGUUCUUCCCCAGACAAUAAAGUGGCAUGUAUUUGCAGCAUUCGGUAGUUUAAAAGGUGGUCGAGCUGAUUGGCUUGUUGAGAAAUGCACUGAGUUGGGGGCUCAUAGUGUGACCCCUCUGCUAACAGAACGCUCCCCAUCAAUCUCAGAUAAUCGAGUGGACAGGUUGGAACGUGUCAUUUUAGCAGCAACGAAACAAUGUCAGCGGCUGCAUGAAAUGGUUCUAAAUCCUCCUACAAAAGUUGAAGGCCUUCUGCCUCUUAUUGCCGAUUCAAAGCUAUCUUUUCUGGCAGCUGCAGAAGCUACUCCGGUUGUUAAUGUACUGGCUUCAUCUAGAAAAGAGUCAAGUGGAUUGAUAAUCGUGGGACCAGAAGGGGGUCAGUAUUCAUGUCUAUUUCACGGAGAGAGAGGCUGCCUUGAUGAUGGAAGCAGGUGCCACAGCUGUUGGUCUUGGACCACUUCGCCUUCGUGUUGAAACUGCAACAAUGGCACUUUUGGGAACUCUAAUGUUGUGGUCUGAUGCUCAGCAAUUCUCUUCUGCCUAGUUACAUUUGCAAGUAAGAUGGGUCUAACAUUUUGGAUUUCCUGCUUUGCUACUCCUACAAUCUGUCAGAUUCAGAUGUACCUUUAGAAAAUGGCUUAUUAAGACUAGAAGAUGUUAUCUUGCUUUAUUAUGGGAUACAUGUAAAGGAUGCCAACUCAAGACAGGAAGGAAUUACAAUAGUUACCUUUUCUUCUCAACAUCAGUUUUUGUUCUGUUAACAUAUCAUCUAUUGGAGAGACUGCUACUUUUUUAAUUUUCACUUUUUUUAUUAUUAUUGACCAUCUAAAAGUAGUUGUAAGAUUCCUAUUCCCAUUUGUUUCCAUGGUUUGAAAUGCUCGUUGAUGGAAUGUGAACAUUUUCAGUAAGCCCAAUGUAUAACUGGCCAAGUGAAUUACUAGACAAAUAAUGUUCAGACAAAAGUUAGUAUUUGAUUGCUGCUCUCUGUUGUGACACCAUGAGAUUACAACUUGGCCAUAUUGACUAAUAUGAGCUACUUCUUUUAAGACAUAAAUGGACAUGUUUUAGUUUUAUAUUCAUCAAUGAAGCCUAUUGGAUGAAAGAUUUUAGUUCUUUUACAACAUUGAAGUAUUGUAAUAUGGUUUUAGAAAACUUCUCUUGGAGCUAGAGUAGCUUGGGUAGAUUUGGUUUAAGACUAGCAUCACGCAUUGAACUUGGUUUAGAUAAUCCUACCUGUGCCAAUAGCAGUUGGAUAGCUUGAAAGUUAACCAGACUCAUCACCCUCCAUUGAAAAUUCUCUUAUUUAGUUAAGAAAAAGAGAAGAAAGAAAUCUUGAGUUAUGCCUCGAUAAUUUUUUUAAGAGAAAAAGAAGGGAAGAAAGAAAUCCUGAGUUAUGCCUCGAUGAUUUUAUUCUUGAAAGAAGAAAGAAACGUUGAAGAGUCAGAACAUGAGGUGUAUUGCAUCUCAAACUUUGCAGCAUAAAUUUCAUUUUUAUUAGCAAUGUGUAAUUAUACUUUGGAUGAAAUAAGUUCUUCAGCCGUUCAAAGGUCAACUUUUGACAAAUCUAUACCUAAAUUACUCAGCUUCUGGCUGAGGCAAGAAAAAUGAAAUUGUGGGAAAAAGAAAAGUCAACUAAUUACAUCAAAGUUUAUGUUUCCAAUUGCUUAGUCGUUAUGUAGUGAUGGUUGCUUGUGAUUAAAGAGGCAUUGAAUGCUGGCUAGACGAUGUAGUACACUACGUACUAGGUCUAGUACAGUACAGGCUGGCUGGGAUUGCAAAAUAAUAAGAUUAGGACUUUGGCUUGAAAAUUGCAGCAAAGUCUUGUUACCUAUGAUGCAUCUAACGCAACCCAUCAUUUACCCUGUUUUACAUGAAUGACAAUGACGCAACUCUCCAAUCAGGUUGAUGCAAGCUACAAUCUUUAGGCUCCACUAAGGUCAAUGUUCAACUUCCUAGAGUCUGAACACACAAUAAUUGUAUGCUUUUCAUCCACUUUGAACUCAAUCUCAUUGAUCAUAAUUUAUUCAAAGCCAUUAAUGUAGUUUUAUUUUCUAGUUUUUCUUGAGUAAUGCUACACAAUUCACCAUUAUAUAUUUCAACUCUUACUUG